rnacentral:rRNA from 1 species
CCUACGGAAGGCAGCAGUGGGGAAUAUUGGACAAUGGGGGCAACCCUGAUCCAGCCAUGCCGCGUGUGUGAAGAAGGCCCUCGGGUUGUAAAGCACUUUCAGUGAGGAAGAACGCCUGGUGGUUAAUACCCAUCAGGAAAGACAUCACUCACAGAAGAAGCACCGGCUAACUCCGUGCCAGCAGCCGCGGUAAUACGGAGGGUGCGAGCGUUAAUCGGAAUUACUGGGCGUAAAGCGCGCGUAGGUGGCUUGAUAAGCCGGUUGUGAAAGCCCCGGGCUCAACCUGGGAACGGCAUCCGGAACUGUCAAGCUAGAGUGCAGGAGAGGAAGGUAGAAUUCCCGGUGUAGCGGUGAAAUGCGUAGAGAUCGGGAGGAAUACCAGUGGCGAAGGCGGCCUUCUGGACUGACACUGACACUGAGGUGCGAAAGCGUGGGUAGCAAACAGGAUUAGAUACCCUUGUAGUC